UUUUAUUACAUACUAUAGCCGACGAAUAUAUUAGGGUAUUCGUCGGCUAAACCCUAAACUUUUUCUGUUACAUACUAUAGCCCUAUCUUCGGUGGUUAUUUUGCGUAAAAUUUUUAUACGACUUAUUGUGUCUCAUCGAUUUGAAAAUAUUUUCAGUUGAAGGUUCGGCCAAAAUACGAAAUUUAGACGGUCCAACGACCUUCUCCUUGCAUUUAGGGGUUUGACUUACGAGAUUGACCGUCCGGAUCGAGCACUUAACCUUGUCAGAUCAAGUUGAAUUUUUUCCCAUACAUGUAUUUUAUCAUGAUGGUCAGAUCUAACCGUCGGAUUUCCUUUUCUCAAGUUUGAUCAUCACAAUCACAACAUUCUUACUAAUGUUGUAUAACUUGUUUACCAAGUGUUAAGUAAAUAUUCCGUUUCAAAAACAAAUUAUACGUAGAACCUUCAAACGUAAAAAAGUCGUGAAAUAAGACAUGACCAGAAUGGUGAAAUACGUCUAUGGUUGAAAAAUCACGGUAUUCCGGUCAUGUCUUGGUGCCGAUAGUUGCGGUCAAUGCAAUUUUUCAUUCUUUCUCCCUAUGGGUAGCCCUAUCUUCGGUGGUUAUUUUGCAUAAAAUUUUUAUAGGACUUGUUGCGUCUCAUCGGUUUGAAACUAUUUUCAGUUGAAGGUCCGGCCAAAAUACGUAAUUUAGACAGUCCAAUGACCUUUUCCGUGCGUUUAGGGGUUUGACUUAACGGAUUGACCGUCCGGAUCGAGCCCUUAACCUUGUCGGAUCAAGUUGAAUUUUUUCCCAUACAUGUAUUUCAUCAUGAUGGUCAGAUCUGACGGUCGGAUUUUCGUUCUAAAGUUUGAUCAUCACGAGCAGCAGUCACAGUUUGACGAAUGUAUAAAAAGUUAUAAAGCCGACGAAUUUAAAUGGUUAUAGCCGACGAAUUUUGUGUUUAGUCGACGAAUUUCAUAGGUUUAGCGGACGAAUUUCAAAGGUUUAGCCGACAAAUUUUAAUCUUAGCCGACGAUAUUAUUAUCUUUAGC
rnacentral:lncRNA from 1 species